CAAUAGCGUAUAUUAAUGUUGUUGCAGUUAAAAAGCUCGUAGUUGGAUUUCUGGUGGGAGCGGUUGGUCUGCCCCGCGAGGGGUAGUUACUGAGCCGUAUCCGGCCCUUUUCGGGUUGACCGUGGCUGGCAUUAAUUUGUCGGUGCGGGAGGCCCGUCGUUUACUGUGAACAAAUUAGAGUGUUCAAAGCAGGGUGUUCUUGAAUACAUUAGCAUGGAAUAAUGAGAUAGGACUUUGGUGGUUCUCACUUUUUGUGGGAUAUUUUGUUGGUUUGCACGCCAAAGUAAUGAUUAAUAGGAGCAGUUGGGGGUAUUCGUAUUCAAUUGUCAGAGGUGAAAUUCUUGGAUUUCUAGAAGACGAACUACUGCGAAAGCAUUUACCAAGGAUGUUUUCAUUAA
rnacentral:rRNA from 1 species